ACGUGUGCCCUUCCGCUAUUGUUUCUGGAGACUGGGGAAGAUGAAGGGCCCUUUGAGGUGCAAAAGGUGACAAAACCUCUCAUUAAAACGAUGCCUUAAUAUUAAAGCAACAAAAUACCAUUUUGCUCAUCAGAUUGGCAAAAUUUUAAAAGAAUGCAAAUGCCCAAUGUGGCAAGGGCAUGUGGAAGUAGGCGGUCUCAUAUAAAUUUUUUCAGCAUCUGAAAAGCUAUUUAGAAUAUCAAAAUAACUCUCCCAUGUAUAAUGACAAAUUUCACAUGUACAUCAAAUAGAGAGAACAGUAGAAUAAAUGUUACGUACCCAUCACUCAGCCCCAACAAUGGUCAACUCAUGGCUCACCUUACUUCACCUGUCUUCCCAGCCACUGUUCCCCUCACGAGACUGUUUUGAAACAAACCUUAAACGUUAUACAUUUUCAUUUCUAGGUAGUUCAGUAGCUCUGUCUAGAAGAAAAGGAUUUCUAGACUUCACAUACUGUCGCACCUAAAAAACAGUCUUUCCUUAAUAUCACCAAUAUCCAGUUGUUGUCAGGAUUUCCCCAACUGUCUCAUAACUUUUUUUUUUUACAGUUGGUUUGUUCAAAUAAGGACCCACACAAGGUCCGCAUACUGCAUCUGACUGAUACAUCUCUAAAGUCUCCUUUAAUCUGUAAGCUCCCAUUUCUCUUCUUUUUACUCCACAAUUUGCCUGUGGGCGAAACCAGGCCAUUUGUCCUGUAGGGUAUCCCACAGUCUGGCCAUGCUGGAUGUGUCCUUGCCCGUCUUGUAACUUAUCCCACUUUGUCUGUGCUUCCUACAACGUGGCAG